rnacentral:tRNA from 1 species
GUUUCCGUAGUGUAGUGGUUAUCACGUUUGCCUAACACGCAGAAGGUCCCCAGUUCGAGCCUGUGCGGAAACA